GUCCCAUCCACCCCGUCUGUAUCAGUUCAGAAUGUAUAUCCUUCUCAGACCGUAAUCUGGCCAGGGAGUGGACUGUUUGAAGCAGGUGACGAUGCAAUACUAGACAGCGUUUUGGAUUACGAGAACGAGAGUGGACUUCUAUCUCAAUCUGAAAUUAAUACAACAGACAGGCCUGAGACACCUCCGACUAACGACUGCAG